GUUCAGAGCUUUGGUUGUGGUUAUUGCUUCUCUGUUCUGGCGAACAGGACCUGUUACUGCUGAAUCUUAAUGGCAUGUUGGAUCUCAAGUGCAGCCACAACGUUACUGACUUUGUCACUAUUCUGUGGUAUCAGCAGCUGAUUGGUGCUCCAGACCUUAAACUCAUCGGUUACUGUGAGCAAUUGAUAACAACAUUUUCUUAUUUGGUUGAACUAUUUCUUUUCAAAUCCUGUUUUAGGAUAAGUUUCAAAUCUGAAGUUUGACACAUGAACAGCAGGAGGUAGUGUAAACCCUGACUCUCAGGAAAGCUAAUUUACCAUUACACUCACAAAAUUCACUUUCAUUGUUGAUCACACAAUGGUAUGAGGGGGAUGUACAUGCACAUCAUUUCUCUGAACAUUCAAGUAAACAUGAUCAGGAGUCUCAUCAUCAUUUCUUUUCUUAUCUGUCUAUCAGAUAUUUCAAAUAGCCAAGACAUUAAUCAAACUCCAAAGCAUCUGAUCAAAAAUCCUGGACAAUCUGAAGAGCUCCACUGUUCUCACAGUUCAUCUUCUUACAAUGUCAUGCUCUGGUACAAACAAAAACAUGGUGAAAAUUUGGAGUUUCUUGGAAAUCUUGUGGGUUCUGGUGCUACAGUUGAGGAGAAAUUCAAAGAUAAAAUAACUCUGACUGGUGAUGCAAAUAAAAACAGUGUCUUAAAACUACAGAGGCUUUCAUCUGAUGACAAUGCGGUGUACUUUUGCGCUGCUAGUUUACAC